rnacentral:rRNA from 1 species
AGGAUCAACGCUGGCGGCGUGCCUAACACAUGCAAGUCGAACGCGAAGACCCCGCAAGGGGUUGGUAGCGUGGCAAACGGGUGAGUAACGCGUGGGCGACCUACCUCAGAGUGGGGGAUAACCUUCCGAAAGGGAGGCUAAUACCGCAUGACAUCCCGUGUUUAGAUACACGGUGAUCAAAGCCGGGGAUCGCAAGACCUGGCGCUUGGAGAGGGGCCCGCGUCCGAUUAGCUAGUUGGUGGGGUAACGCUCACCAAGGCUCCGAU